rnacentral:lncRNA from 1 species
AUAGCAGAGAUGCAAAGACUGUAGAGUCCACAUAGUCCACUCUUCUAAGAAUGUAGUCACUACCAGUCUCCUUUGUGGCCUGUCUUCUCAGCCCAUCCACCAAGAACUUUUCUAGAGAAGUUCUUCUUGCACAGCUACUCCAGUUACCCUGAUCUGCACAAUAAUUGCAAUGAUAAACUGAUGUUAAAAGCACAGUGGAGAGAGUUAUUAAUCCCAUUUGGACUCAAGGAUAAAGAAGAAUGCUCAGAGAAAGAUACAGAGAAGUCAGGCCUUGAAGGAUGACGAUUAGGCAUUAACUAAACAGAGAAGACAGGCAAAGAUAUUACAAUCACCUAGGAAGACACGGGUGUAUGAAAAAGUGAUCUUUCUGAUUAUUUCUGCUGGUACUGCCCCAUAGAUGAGGGACAUGCUUCUAUGCCGAGGCCUCUGAGUGAUGAGACUGAUCCUCAUGGAUUUGCUGUUCUGACACAUGUGACCUGGCCAGUGGCUUUUGCUGGUACCUCCCAGUCUGGUCAGGAGGAAGGAAACACUUCUGUAUCCCACUCCAUUUCAUUUCAGGUCUACAAGUGUGAAUUAAUUAUUUUAUAUGGUGUGAGAUAGAGAUUCUCCCCGACUCCACAUGGAUAUCCAGG